AUGGCGACCACCACCGGCAGGACGAGCCCCGCGAUGAGCAUGAAGCUGCUGGUGGACGCCAAGGCGGGGCGCGUGCUGUUCGCGGAGGCCGGCAAGGACGUCGUCGACUUCCUCUUCUCCCUCCUCGCCCUGCCCGUCGGCACCGCCGUCAGACUGCUCGGGAGGCGCUCCGUGCCCGGCAGCGCCAGCGACCUCUACGCCAGCGUCCAGAGGCUCGACGCCGCCGCCUACCUCCUGCCCGGCGCCGACAUCGGCGCGCUCCUCCGCCCCGCCGUCCCCUCCAGCAUCCCCCUCCUCUGCUUGCCCGGCCCGUCGUCGUAG
rnacentral:rRNA from 1 species